AUUGAACGCUGGCGGCAGGCUUAACACAUGCAAGUCGAGCGGGGGCUUCGGUCCUAGCGGCGAACGGGUGAGGAAUGCUUGGGAAUCUGCCCAGUAGCGGGGGAUAACGUUUCGAAAGGAACGCUAAUACCGCAUACGCCCUACGGGGGAAAGGGGGGGAUCUUCGGACCUCUCACUAUUGGAUGAGCCCAAGUCGGAUUAGCUAGUUGGUGGGGUAAAGGCCUACCAAGGCGACGAUCCGUAGCUGGUCUGAGAGGAUGAUCAGCCACACUGGAACUGAGACACGGUCCAGACUCCUACGGGAGGCAGCAGUGGGGAAUAUUGGACAAUGGGCGAAAGCCUGAUCCAGCCAUGCCGCGUGCGUGAAGAAGGCCUUCGGGUUGUAAAGCACUUUAAGCGAGGAGGAAUGGCUGAGGGUUAAUAACCUUCAGCAGUGACGUUACUCGCAGAAUAAGCACCGGCUAACUCUGUGCCAGCCGCCGCAGUAAUAC
rnacentral:rRNA from 1 species